rnacentral:rRNA from 1 species
AUCGGUGCUUGCACUGAUCCGAUCGAGUGGCGGACGGGUGAGUAACGCGUGGGUAACCUGCCUCAUACAGGGGAAUAACAGUUGGAAACGGCUGCUAAAACCGCAUAAGCGCACGGUAUCGCAUGAUACAGUGUGAAAAACUCCGGUGGUAUGAGAUGGACCCGCGUCCGAUUAGAUAGUUGGUGAGGUAACGGCUCACCAAGUCGACGAUCGGUAGCCGACCUGAGAGGGUGAUCGGCCACAUUGGGACUGAGACACGGCCCAAACUCC